CGUGCGCACGCGCCGAAUCCCGCAAGGGAACCGGGGAACCACCGAACAUGGGGUGAAUCGGGCGUAAGUCGCCGAUAUCGGCUGGCUGAUUUACGCGCGUAGGAGACCUUCCUGCUCCGAACCCGUCAGCUAACCCGGUAGGCGAGAAGGAAGGAAAGG
rnacentral:sRNA from 2 species